rnacentral:tRNA from 3 species
GGAGACGUGGGUGAGUGGCUGAAACCAACGCUUUGCUAAAGCGUCGUACGGGAGACCGUACCGAGAGUUCGAAUCUCUCCGUCUCCGCCA